UCUCCGCUUCUCCUUCACCCGGGCGGUACCCGCUCCGGCGCCGGCCCGCGGGACGCCGCGGCGUCCGUGCGCCGAUGCGAGUCACCCCCGGGUGUUGCGAGUUCGGGGA
rnacentral:pre_miRNA from 1 species